CGGUCUCGUACGGCGUCAUGCCUUGAAUCUUGUCAGGGCCGGAAGGCAGCAGCAAUAAGGGGAUGUUGGCGCGCGUCGCGGGGUUGCCG
rnacentral:SRP_RNA from 2 species